ACUCCUACGGGAGGCAGCAGUGGGGAAUAUUGCACAAUGGGGGAAACCCUGAUGCAGCCAUGCCGCGUGUGUGAAGAAGGCCUUCGGGUUGUAAAGCACUUUCAGUAGGGAGGAAGGUAGUGUAGUUAACACCUGCAUUAUUUGUACGUUACCUACAGAAGAAGCACCGGCUAACUCCGUGCCAGCAGCCGCGGUAAGUACGGAGGGUGCGAGCGUUAAUCGGAAUUACGUGGGCGUAAAGCGCAUGCAGGCGGCCUGUUAAGUCAGAUGUGAAACGCCCGGGGUCUUAACCUCGGAAUUGCAUUUGAAACUGGCAGGCUAGAGUCUUGUAGAGGGGUUAGAAUUUCGAGGUGUAGCGGUGAAAUGCGUAGAGAUC
rnacentral:rRNA from 1 species